rnacentral:rRNA from 1 species
GAUGAACGCUGGCGGCGUGCCUAAUACAUGCAAGUCGAGCGAAUGGAUUAAGAGCUUGCUCUUAUGAAGUUAGCGGCGGACGGGUGAGUAACACGUGGGUAACCUGCCCAUAAGACUGGGAUAACUCCGGGAAACCGGGGCUAAUACCGGAUAACAUUUUGAACCGCAUGGUUCGAAAUUGAAAGGCGGCGUCGGCUGUCACUUAGGGAUGGACCCGCGUCGCAUUAGCUAGUUGGUGAGGUAACGGCUCACCAAGGCAACGAUCCGUAGCCGGCCUGGGAGGGUGAUCGGCCACACUGGGACUGAAGAACGGCCCAGACUCCUACGGGAGGCAGCAGUAGGAAAGGUUCCGCAAGGUACGAAAGUCUGACGGAGCAACGCCGCGUGAGUGAUGAAGGCUUUCGGGUCGUAAAACUCUGUUGUUAGGGAAGAACAAGUGCUAGUUGAAUAAGCUGGCACCUUGACGGUACCUAACCAGAAAGCCACGGCUAACUACGUGCCAGCCGCCGCCGUAA